rnacentral:rRNA from 1 species
UCCGGUGACCAUAGCGGAGAGGAUACACCCGUUCCCAUCCCGAACACGGCAGUUAAGCUCUCCAGCUUGUGCCCGGAACGGGUGCGCCGAUGGUACUGGGUUUUACCCGGGAGAGUAGGUCGUUGCCGGAA